CCUGCAACGCGCACUGAAGGCAACAGUUUUAUUUUUGGAGUGACCACGGGCACUGUGGCUCACUCCCUAAGGCUCCAGUUCACUUCAGGAUGAGACGGCCCUGUGGCACUCUGAGCUGGGAUUAACAAGCAGAGAGCAGUUUGUCCCAACAGCCGCUCGCCGAAGCCUUUCGAGCAAAACACUAGCAGCACCUAUUUCCACCUUCAGAAAUCUGUUAUGCUGAUGGAAGUAAGCUACAGUAACGGGCUAGAGCCUGACCUUUCCCAGCAGUAUCCUCCGCCCUUACUGCCAAAACCAGGCAAAGACAAUGCAAGGCUUCAGAAACUCAAGAAAAAGAGAGCCAGGAGAAAAGGCAGCCUUUCUCAGACACCCAUCCCUUUUCGCUCCUGUUUGUCACCUGUCAAUGAAGCGA